UAAGCACUUGAACAGGUCGUGGUCUCAGUGCAGUAGGUCAUGAUUUGGUAGCUGGUGCUGAUAUCAAACUUCUCUUUGACUAAAAUCCACCGGCUCUAAACGUGCCUGUGUGGAUUAUCAGGGAGAGAAACACUA
ensembl:snoRNA